rfam:Candidate division WOR_3 bacterium SM1_77 WOR1_30_36_9885, whole genome shotgun sequence.
UUGAGUGAUGCAAAGAUGCUGGAUGCACAGGCCGGGCUGGAAUCGUCAAUGGGUGCUACCCUGGCGGCACUUGCCGGUAUCAAUAAUAUAUCGGGCCCGG